CCAAUAGCGUAUAUUAAAGUUGUUGCAGUUAAAAAGCUCGUAGUUGAAUUUCGGGAUCAAUGCGUCGGUCGUGCCUCGGUACGUACUAACGAUAUUGAUUUCUCCCUUCUGACGAACCGUGAUGUCAUUAAUUUGGUGUUACGGGGAGUUAGGACUGUUACUUUGAAAAAAUUAGAGUGUUUAAAGCAAGCAAUCGCUCGAAUACAUUAGCAUGGAAUAA
rnacentral:rRNA from 1 species